AUCCUUACCUGGCAGAGGUGAUACCAUGAUCAUGAUGAUGGUUUUCCCAGGGCAAGGCUGAUCCAUUCACUCUGGAUGUGCUGACUCCUGUGAUUUCCCCUAAUGUGGUAAACUUGACUGCAUAAUUUGUGGUAGUAGGGGACUGUGUUCAUGCUUUCUCCUC
ensembl:snRNA U1 U1 spliceosomal RNA